rnacentral:rRNA from 1 species
CCUACGGGGGGCAGCAGUGAGGAAUAUUGGUCAAUGGCCGUAAGGCUGAACCAGCCAAGUAGCGUGAGGGAAGACUGCCCUAUGGGUUGUAAACCUCUUUUAUUCGGGGAUAAAGGUGUCCACGUGUGGCUGUUUGCAGGUACCGCAUGAAUAAGGACUGGCUAAUUCCGGUCCAGCAGCCGCGGUAAUACGGAAGGUCCGGGCGUUAUUCGGAUUUAUUGGGUUUAAAGGGAGCGUAGGCCGGUCUUUAAGCGUGCCGGGAAAUUUUGUGGCUCAACCAUGGGAGUGCGGCGCGAACUGGAGACCUUGAGUGAGCGGAAGGCAGGCGGAAUGCGUGGUGUAGCGGUGAAAUGCUUAGAUAUCACGAAGAACCCCGAUUGCGAAGGCAGCCUGCCGCAGCGUUACUGACGCUGAAGCUCGAAAGCGCGGGUAUCGAACAGGAUUAGAUACCCCGGUAGUC